GCCGGGUUCAGUGACGAGAACCUGUCACCAAGUGGGGCAACGAGGUGGUUGGACUUCGGCCGGGCUUCUCAGGAAGGGCUUGUCGGGAAUUAUGCUGGCCUGCCCGAUCCAAGUCGAGAGUUGAAUCAGGGGGCCCGAGCGAAAGCUCUUGGGCUUCUUGGGUCUUAGAGUGGAGGGUAAAGCGUCAGGCUGGUUUCACAGAGCAGCGAUUACCUCCCGCUCUCGUCGGUGGAUGGAUAACGGGUCGGCUCCUGAUU
rnacentral:SRP_RNA from 1 species